rnacentral:lncRNA from 1 species
GUCCGCCGAGUGGCUCACCACCUGCCGCUGGCCCGAGUAGUCGUAGUACCAGAUGGCCGUGAUGCCGUCGGGCACCUCCACGUCGGCAGGGAAGCUGAAGAUGCAGGGGAUAAGCAGGCAAGACCCCUUCACACCCUGCACGUCCUGGGGACUGGAGACGCCCCAUGAGGCCUGGCCUGGGGGAAGAACGGCAGGGGGACAGAGGGGAGGGUGAUACAGGCCUCAGGGUGCCACAGAGCCCUGCGACCUGCCCCAGAGAAGGUGCCCCAGCUGGGCUCCCAAAUUCUGCCCUGCCCCGAGAAAUGCACACUUAGAGCAGCCCUUCUCAGUGCCCCAGGGGUCAGUCCACUGCCCGAGGCUGCUCAGAGGUUUGGUAGGGUGGCUCGAAGACAGAUGGCAGCUUCCUGCCCAGCUCCUGGCCACUGCCCGAUUGGGCCCUCCCUUGACCUCAGCAACCAAACAUGUGACCCAGGCAUAGUCUAAUCUGCCAAGGGCUGGACUUAUGAAGGCUGGACCCUGGAAGACAGGCACUAGGCCCGCAAAGCUUACCUGCUGGGAAGAAUGAGGCCAGGAGGAGAAGCUUGGGCAAGAAGCCCAUAGCAGGUUCUUGUGCUGCUCCUGUUGCCUAAGAGGGUGGUGCGCACUGCGCUGGCUGGGCUCACAGGGGCCUCCAGGGACACCUCUGGGCACUUUAGCCCCAGCACCUGCUAGAAGUCCGAGCCUGUGUCCCCACCUCCUCUGCUGGCCAACCCAAUAAGAGGGCAGGGCUCUUAAAGACCUCUGAGUCAGACACCAGCAGAGAGCCAGGAGGCCACGUUCCCAGCUCAGGCUGUGCCCAGGAAUGCCCUCACUUGGUGGCCUGCCUCAGAAAAGCCUGUGUGUCCCUUGGCCCUAUCCCAAGUUCUGCUUUCCCAGCCCCUCAAGGAUACCACCCUAAGGCAGAUGAACAGCUGUUUCUCCCUCUUCCCCACUUCCCUGCCCCCUCCCCACCACCCAAACCAACAGGAACUGGAGCCCAGAGAUGCCCAGUUACUCACUCCAAGACACCCAGCUAGAAUGAUGGUUUCUUCCUGAGGCUUGUCUCCUACCACCUGCCUUACUAACUAUAGACCAUAAUGGGGCUUUACUGAACUUGCCGAAGUGCUGCCUUUAACAGUCACUCCCCUGCUCAAAAACCUUCUGUGGCUCCCCAUUGCCCGUGAGAUGUGAAAAGUCCUCAUUUCCUGCCCCCAGCUCUGUCCCCAUUCCCUGCUCUCCGCAGACCCACUCUGGGGGCAGUUCUGUCUGCUCAAGGGCUCCCUAGCUGCCCAGCUCUAUCUCCACCACAGAUAAUCUUUGCCUGCUGAAACCUUAUUCAACCUUCAAGGAGCAGCAUGAAUUUGGCUUCCAGCUGGAACUUCUCCUUUGAGGUUCCUGUAGCUACCCCAGAGCUAUCUCUAUUUUCCUUGCCUUGUUUUUUACAGCUUGUGAGAGCCCAUUUCUCAGGACCUAGAACUGAAGAUAUGUGCCCCAUAGCAGUGCGGAGCCUACCAGGCAUUCAGCAAACCCCUUAGUGACUAAGAGAGGGGUGAGGUCUUUAGGGGUUCAGAGCUGAGGUUCAGAGUUGGAGUGGGGAGGUGGCAAGGCAAGUCUAGGUUUGAAAGGUAGCAUGAGAGCGCUGUGGAACACAUACCCCACAAAUAUGAGCUCAAUGUGUGCGGAGUGUACCAUAUCCAAAAAGGCAGGCCCUCAACCAUGGAGUGCCCCUGGUCAGGGAGUGUCUAAGGGGUACCAUAGACCUGAGCCCAAAAGGAAGAGAUGCCAGAAACACAUAUAAGUGAAACUAUAAAACUCUUAGAAGAAAACAGGUGAAAAUCUUCAUGACCUUGGAUUAGGCAAUGCUUUCUUAAGUAUGAAAUUAAAAGCACGAAAAAAAAAAAUAGGUAAGUUGGACUUCAUCAAAAUUUAAAACUUGGCCAGACACAGUGGCUCAUGCCUGUGAACCCAACACUUUGGGAGGCUGAGGCAGGAGGAUCACUUUAGCCCAGGAGUUCAAGACGAGCCUGGGCAAUACUGCAAGACUCUGUCUCUACGAAAAAUUAAAAAACAGGCCUGUGGUCCCAGCUACUCUGGAGGCUGAGGUGGGAAGAUCGCUUGAGCCCAGGGGAGGGGUCGAGGCUGCAGUGAGCCAUGAUUGCACCACUGCACUCCAGCCUGGGUGACAGAGCAAGACCCUGUCUGAAAAGAACAAACAACAGCUGGGUGCGGUGGCUCACGCCUGUAAUCCCAGCACUUUGGGAGGCUGAGGCAUGCAGAUCACAAGGUCAAGAGAUUGAGACCAUCCUGGCCAACAUGGUGAAACCCCGUCUCUACUAAAAAUACAAAAUUAGCUGGGUGUGGUGGUGUGCACCUCUAGUCCUAGCUACUCGGGAGGCUGAGGCAGGAGAAUCACCUGAACCCAGGAGGCGGAGGUCACGGUGAGCCAGGAUCACGCCACUGUACUCCAGCCUGGUGACAGAGUGAGACUCUUCUGUCUCAAAAAAAAAAAAAAAAAAAAAGGAUAUGAAUCAAAGGACACUAUCCAGAGAGUGAAUAAAAGGAGGACAACCCACAGAAUGGGAGAAAAUAUUUGUAAAUCAUUUAUCUGAUAAAGGACUAAUAUCCAGAAUAUAUAAAGAAUUCCUACAAUGAACAACAACAACCACCAAAAAAACCAUGAAAUCCAACUCCAAAAAUGGGCAAAACACUUGAAUAAACAUUUCUUCAAAGAAGAUAUAUAACUGGCUGAUAAGGACAUGAAAAGAUGCUCAACAUCACUAGGCAUUAGGAAAUGCAAAUCAAAACCAAACCACAGUGAGAUACCACUUCACAUCCGUUAGAAUGGCUAUUCACAAACAAACAAAGCAACACAGAAAACAAUAAAUAUUGGUGAGGAUGCGAAGUUGAAAUUCUUGUGUAUUGCUGGUGGGAAUAUAAAAUGGUUCCGUCACUGUGGAAAACAAUUGGGUCAUUCCUCAAAAAGUCAACAUAGGAUUACCAUAUGAUCCAGCAAUUCCACUCCUAGGUAUAUACCCAAAAGUACUGAAAACAGGGACUCUAACAGAGUACACCAAUGUUCACGGCAGCACUAUUCCACUAAAAGGUGGAAACAGGUCAAGUGUCCAUCAGUGAAUGGAUGUGGAUAAACAAACUGUGGUAUGUACAUACAAUGGAAUAUCAAUCGGCCAUAAGGAGGAAUGAAUUCUAACAUAUGUGAACCUUGAAAACAUUAUGCUCAGUGAAACCAGCCAGACACAAAAGGGCAAAUAUUGUAGGGUUCCAAUUACAUGAAAUAUCUAGACUACGUAUAUUCAGAGACUGAAAGUAGAAUAGGAUAGAGGUAACCAGGGGCUGCAGGGAGGGGGAGCUAAUGUUUAAUGAUUGCUGAGUCUCUCAGAUAAUGAAAAAGUUCUGGAAAUAGUGGUGAUGGUUACACAAUAUUGCAAAUGUACCUAAUGUCAUGGGGUGUACACUUAAAGACAGUUAAAACAGUAAAUUUUACAUUAUGUAUAUUUCACCACAUACACACCCAUGUUGCCAACUUUGCAAUCCUCCCUGGUCCUAAAUGCUGACUUGGCCAAGUGAACGAGGAGGCUGGAAGUGGGGACAGGAAACUCAUGACCUCCCAGCUCCCAGCCCAUCCGCCUCAGGGGCUGGGCUCAGCAGAUUCCAAUGACUACCAGGGGUCACACCUGGGAAGGGGGUGAGCCGAGGCCCAGGGCCAGUCAGGCUGACCAGGUGGGACUUAGCCUGCUGCAGAAGGCAGAAGGUGCCCCAGCAGGGGGCACAGUACAGGGCGGGAUUGGGACAGGAAGGACACCGCUCCCCAGGGGACCCAGCCCUCUCGCAGGCUGCUGGAGUGGACUGAUCUGGCCAUUUAUGGAGGCCCAAGGGCUCAUCUCCAGUUCUCUAGGAAGCCCUAGGCCUCCUCCUCUUCUGGGAAGAUGCACCCCCAGCCUCCACACCAGGUUCUUGGCCACUGGAGAAUGAUAUAGCUGGGGCCCUGGGACCUGGACACCUCACCGUGAAGAAAAGCAGCCUGCUGGGCACACUGGGGGUCAGAUGUGUCCCUGGCCACAGGGGAUGUCAGGGUCAGCUCUGCUAUGGCCAGGGCAGCUAUCUUGUCCCAGCUCCCCUGUUCCUCCCAUUUGGGGUCCUGAAAAGGGCAAUCGUGAACCUGAUGGAAGAAUGGUGGGGUUCUGGACACAGCGACCCUGGAACAGGGCGCGGGGGAGGACCCUUUCCAGGACCACUCCCAUCACAUAAUGUAGAGGCCACCUAUGCUUAGCCCGGCCCUAACCCCAAAGGGGUCAGCCCCACCGGAAUCCAGCCUAUUGGCUCAGCCUGUCACCACAAAGGCCAGCUUCAGCCCAGAUAACUGUUCUGGAAACAGAAAGAGCAGGGACCGCUCAGAAAGGAGAUCUCUGUCCCUGUUUGAAAGCCUGGAGUUGAGGGGACAGUGCCCCGCCCCCCGCCCCCCGCAACUUGGGUUGCAGCUGUGGCCUAGUGAGCACGCAGCGCCCCCUGGUGGUCGAGGGGGAAUUGCGGGUCCCGGGAAAGGGGGCGGUGUGCCAGCAACAGGGAGCAGGCAGCUCUGCAGCCCUGAACCAUCCCUCCCUUGGGUGACUCUUUUGGAAAUCAUUGUUCCCCAGACAGGAGGUUCCUGAGGUUCAUACUUGGGUCUCCAAGUCUUGGGUGCUCUGAAGACAGGAUUUUAAAUCCCCACUCCUACUAUUGGUAUGUGUUGCAUCAGGGUGGCUUGAGCUGGCCUGGUACACAGUGGGCACUCACGUUUGCUGCCUGUUUGAGACCAAGUGCCUCAGGAGGUCUUGGAGGGUUGGCUGGGGCCCCAAGUCCCUGACCUCUGAUUCCAGAGGCCAAGUUUAGCUGGGGAAGAAAGGGCAGAGGCAGUUUCCCUAUGGACAGCUAGGCCCGGGUGUAGGAUUCAGUUUCUGUUUCCUGACACCAAGGCUUCUCCCCAACUUCCCCAUUGGGCUAGAGAAGGAAGAACACAGGGUGACAUGGCCAGCUGGAGGUUACUGGCCCACAGAUAGGGAGUCAGGGUACGGAUGGGCAAUUCCUGGAGCAGAUUAUGGUCAAAAUAGUGGAAAUCCCCAAUCACAGGCCAAAUGUUUAAUUCUCAGAGCCAUAGAAUCCAUAACUAAUGCUUAUUGGCUUUGACAUGGGCAGUAGAAAUUUCACACUUCAUUCCUUAAUCUGGCUCUAAAUGCUUCUGGCUGGAGUGCUCACUCUCCAAACUGUGCUGGACAGCACCAGAAGCCCUCCUGUGGACGGACGAAGUGGUGAUGGAUGAAGUGGAAUUGUGCUGGGGUUAGAGUAAGGAGAGAUUAUCGUUGGGCUGGGCUGGGGCUGAGGUCAGGGUGAUGAUCAGGUUGGAAUUCUGGAAGCAAAUUAAGGCUGGGAUUGGGGUGGACAUUGAGGUUGAGUGAUGGGUGGGGGUAAGGGUGAAGGUUGGAGUUGGGUGCAGGUGAUGGUUAAGAUACGGUGGAGGCUGGGUUGAGAUGAGGAUGAUAGAGUCGGAGUUGUGGUUAGGGUUGGGAUGAUGGAUGGUUGGGAUUAGAUGAGAUGAGUAAAUGGUUAGGGUUGGGGUGCAAGUGAGGUGAGGGUGAGAUAAGGUUGGAAUAGGGGCUGGGGCUGGGGCUGAGGUAGGGUCAGAGCAGGGUGAUGGUCGGGACUGGGAUUGGGAUGCAGGUUGGAAGGAUUUGGGGGUGGUGGAAGGGUUUCAGUUGAGUCCAUCUUUGAUUAGUGUCUUGGACUUGGGUUGGUUUGGGGUCCACCACUCGCACCCAGAUGGAGCCCCCCCCCGACCCCUGCCCCUAUCCCGCUCAGCCAGUUUCAGCCCAGCCCCGCUCCUAAUGCUCCACUCACCCUCUGGGCCCAGGGACCAGGGACAGGGGUACCUGCUCCACAGAAGGAAGUGGCUGCGGCGGUGCUGGACCUGCGGAGAGGAGAACAGGAAGGACGGCCAAGAGCUCCU